GGGUGAUCCUAACAUUACCAAGUGGUUUUUGAUCCCAUACCAUCAAGAAAAUCAUUGGAUUUUGUACGUGUUAGACCUACGUAGAGGUUGUGCGUAUAUUUUCGACUCUGCGAUAGGUUCCAACCGAGAAAAUAGUGCAUGGGGAAUCUUGUGUUUGGCAUACCAAGUGUACAAGUUUAAUGAUGGGAUUUGUCCGAAUAGAGCGACUAUGCAGGGGUUGAAAGGCUUCCAUGUAAAGUGUGCUCAACAAGUCGGCGCCCACGAGUGUGGCUAUUACGUUAUGAAGUUCAUGCAUGAAAUAGUCACGUUACACCAUAACACUGAUGAGCGGUUAGACAAUGCUUACACUCCAAGAAAUGCGCCUUAUACCGAUGAGGAAAUAGAUGUGGUUCGUGAGCAAUGGGCUAAGUUUUUUACAACCGAGUAUUUAUUUACUUAGGUUGUUUAGACACAAAGAUGGAAGCGUUUAUAUCUUCAUGGAUUUGGCUAGGGAUCGAGUCGAUUGGAAGAAAGUCAACACGACCUUACUUAAGGUUUGUAAUGCAUGAUCUAAAGGGACCUAAGUGGCUGGAUUAGAGACAUUUGUUAGAUUAGCUCUCUAGCCUUUUGUCUUUAGUUGUUAAUAUUAGUUGUAA